rnacentral:rRNA from 1 species
GAUGAACGCUGGCGGCGUGCCUAAUACAUGCAAGUCGAGCGAACGGACGGGAAGCUUGCUUCUCUGAUGUUAGCGGCGGACGGGUGAGUAACACGUGGAUAACCUACCUAUAAGACUGGGAUAACUUCGGGAAACCGUAGCUAAUACCGGAUAAUAUUUUGAACCGCAUGGUUCAAAAGUGAAAGACGGUCUUGCUGUCACUUAUAGAUGGAUCCGCGCUGCAUUAGCUAGUUGGUAAGGUAACGGCUUACCAAGGCAACGAUGCAUAGCCGACCUGAGAGGGUGAUCGGCCACACUGGAACUGAGACACGGUCCAGACUCCUACGGGAGGCAGCAGUAGGGAAUCUUCCGCAAUGGGCGAAAGCCUGACGGAGCAACGCCGCGUGAGUGAUGAAGGUCUUCGGAUCGUAAAACUCUGUUAUUAGGGAAGAACAUAUGUGUAAGUAACUGUGCACAUCUUGACGGUACCUAAUCAGAAAGCCACGGCCAACUACGUG